UGAAUCUUUUCGGCCGGGGAUCCGAUUAGCUCGUAACACGUGGAGAGUGCCUUAAGUGGGGGAUAAUCUCGGGAAAUUGAGGAUAAUACCCCAUAGGUCAUGGGAUCUGGAAUGACCCAUGGCUGACAGUUCCGGCGCUUAAGGAUCGCUCUGCGGCCUAUCAGGUAGUAGUGGGUGUAACGUACCCCCUAGCCUACGACGGGUAUGGGCCUUGAGAGAGGGAGCCCAGAGUUGGAUUCUGAGACACGAAUCCAGGCCCUACGGGGCGCAGCAGUCGCGAAAACUUCACACUGGGGGGAACCCCGAUGAGGGAAUUCCUAGUGCUUUGUGUAUUUUUUCUUAUCUUUUCCCGAGCGUAGAUAACUCGGGGAAUAAGGGCUGGGUAAGACGGGUGCCAGCCGCCGCGGUAAUACCUGCAGCCCGAGUGGUGGUCGAUUUUUAUUGAGUCUAAGCGUCGCAGCCCGCCCCGCCCCACCCUCGGGUAAAUCGGGAAGCUCAACUUUCCGACUUCCGAGGAGACUUGUUUGUACUUUGUGACCGGGAGAGGCGAGAGGUACUUCUGGGGUAGGGGUAAACUCCUGUAAUCCUAGAGGACACGGUGGCGAGCGUCUCGCUAGAACGGAUCCGACGUGAGGACGAGCCCUGGGUCGCAAACGGAUUAGAUACCCGGUAGUCAGGUGUAACGCUGCUACUUGGUGUUGGGGGCCUACGGGGGCGUCAUGCGGAAAGAGUUGUUAGUCUGCUACUUGGGAUACGUCCGCAGAUGACUCGACUGGCGGGGACCGACGGAGGGCUGCGUAAUGAUCACCGUACUCAACGGACGGUAUGAGUCAGCAUGACCUCGAUCCAAGUGUGCAUGCUUCAGUUUACCUAGCUUUUUAUGGUAUCG
rnacentral:rRNA from 1 species